AUGAAUUAUGCACCGAAGAAGGAGGUGGAGAAGAAAUCUCAGUUUCAAGGGUGGGGGUGAGGAGAGGAGAAAGAAAGUGUGAGCGGAGGGGGGAGUUCCUGCAGAGCAGUGCUCUCCUCUACCCCCAUCCCAGCAGCAGAAGAGGAGCCCUGGUGGGAAAUAGGGGUGGGGGUGCCAGUGCGGUACCCAGCAGGCUGGCUGAAAGAAGCCUCUUUCUGGUAUUUAUAGAGCUUGCAUCGCCAUGGUACCCAGGCUCUGAAAUAAAACUCCAGCCCAACUGCUUAGAGACGGGUGGAAUGAAAGGCUCUUUACCUGUCCAUUGCUCGCGGUUUGAUACCUCAUUCUCUGAAUUUUAGAUGAGCAGUCCCCCUGAAUUUUGUAAGAGAGCAGCAAGAAGAGGAUUGUUUCCACGAGGUGAAUCCAAGCUAGGAGGUGGUCACCCUGAAAUCCUGCAAGGUUCUCUGACCCCAUGGCUUCCUGCACUGCCCUUGACACCUGAUCCAGGCUGAACAGAGACCUUUCUCACCAGCCCUGAUUACUCAGCCACGAGUUCUAUAUCCAUCAAAUCAGGAUGAAGAAGCCAAGUGCAAUGAUCCAUGAGUGUAUCCUGGAGGACUUAAAGCUACAAAGGACAUCCUUGGGACAGUUGGGUAACUGUGAACCUGGACUGUAUUUUAGACAAUAGUAUGUCAGUGUUGAGUAUCUCACGAGUGGUCGCGGUACUAUAGUUAUGUCGGAGGGUAACCCUUGUUCUCCGGGGCAGAGAUGGGAGCAUUUAGGGUGGAGUGUCAUGAGGUCUACAGCUUACUUUCAAAUGAUUUGGCACCAUUUGAGCAUUUCAGAGGGAGGGAGGGAAGGAGAGAGAACACAAACAUGGCAAAAAAUGUUCAUCGAUAAAUAAUAUUGAAGGUAUGGAAUUUUAUAUUUUCUUCAACUUUCCUCUCACUUAGCACAGCAUUUGGCAUGGAAUACACCUCAAUAAAUGUUGGCUGAACUGCAAGAACAACUACUAGUUGCCUAAAAGUGUGCCCUGAGUUGCUUAAGAUGAUC